rnacentral:lncRNA from 1 species
CCCGGAGAACACUAAGAGAAGCAGCAAGAUCAUUGGCCCAAAUGUUCCUUCCAUCAACCACUCCAGCAAAGAGGUACUUGCCAGCAGGGAAUCCACUCUUGAUCAAUUCAAGGGUCUUCGUUCCACGAACCAAAUCAAAUCCAUAAGCGGUGACACCCUUCAAAGAAGUGAGGGUCUGGAAUGCCUCAGCUGGAACAUCAGCAAAGUAGGUCUCAACAAGAACAUUCAAGCCAGACAGAGUUGACUCUAGCUCGGCAUAAGCCUCACUGAAUGCAUGCAAUUUGUGUGAGUCAAGAUCCAUAACAAGCAAUGGCUCAUCAAACUGAAUCCAGGAAGCACCAGCAGCCUUAAGCUCAGAAAUAACUUCCCUGCAGAAGUGUUAAUUGGUACAACACAGAUUAAUGAUGUCACUCGAUAUAUACACACAGAGUUAUUUAGCACAUACACAUUUAUAAAUCAGUAAUAGGUGAUAAUUUCUUACUUGUAGAUUGGAAGGAUUUUCGGAAGAAGAGAAAGAAGAGAAAAGGUCUUCGCAACACCCUUGGCAGGCUUAGACAGCAACAAGUAUGACACAGGGCCAAUAAGCACUGGGACAGUUUCAACUCCAAGCUGCAGCAUUAGACAAGUGAUCGAUAUUAGCAUCUCACAAACUUGAUCUGAUUGAUAGAAAGUUACAAGCAAGUUCAGAAUUCGUUUAAUGAAAUCUCUAUGAAAAAUCUUCAGGGUCCACAAUGUGUUGAAAGUACCCUUUUCAAGUAAUUUAUCUUAAGACUAUUUUGCAAACAGUAUUGCUUUCCUUACAGAUCAAAUAAAUCAAACAACAUAUGAACACAUUUACUGAACCAAGUCUAAGUUCAAAGCUCUAUAAAUAAAUGUCAAUGAAUCUAUAGUAAAUUCUAUUGCAUCCUAAGCUAAAGAUGAGCAUAUCAUAUAAGAAUUUCAAGGUGAACGUAACCCAAUUUCAAUAUAUUGUAGAUUCAGAUAUCAAACGAAAUAAAAUUUGUAAAUAUAGACAGAACUGAGAAUAAACACUCACCCCCUUAGCCUCCUUGUACUCAGUCACAGCCUUGUGGGAAGCGUAGGAGAACUUAACAUCGGGUCCCAAUUCAGGAACAAUGAAAUGACUGCAUCAACACGAAGCCAAACACGCGUCAGCAUUCAGUACAAAACCAUUACACCAUAAAUAACUUGAAAUGCCGCUCUUCCAAGUAGUGAAUACUUACUAGUUGGUGUCGAACCACUUGGUCAUUUCCAUAGCGGGAACAGAGGCGUUUCCUCUGGCCAUGGAGAAGUAAACAUCAAAUCCAAUCUCGCCGCCGUUCCAGUUAUACCUCGGGGGCACGGCACCGAGCAUUGCGGUGGUGUCGAGCACUUGGUCGUAGUAGGAGAAAGUGUUGCUGGGAAUGUAUUUGAUCCCGGCCUGGGACAUCUGUUUCCAGAUGGAGGAUCUGAGAUCAGCGGACACCUUUUGCAAAUCCUCAGCGCUGCUCUUGCCAUCCCAGAAGGAUUCCAACGCGAACUUGAGCUCCCUCUUGGGGCCCAUGCGUGGGUAUCCAACGAUGUGAGAUGCCAUUUUACUGUCAUAAUCACGUCAUCAAUGAAUCGAAAAUCAGUCACUUUCAUUAAAUCAAGAAAAUAUUCAUUCAAAUGGAUGGGUCAUUGCUAUUACUGCUCAAAUCAAAUGAAAUCAAGAACACUUAUCAGAGCAUAAAAUCUUAAAUUAAUUUUUUUAUAAAAAAAUAAAAAACCAGUUGAAACAAGCUGAUAAUAAUCCAAGAGUUUGAGAUGAUUUUUUUCUUUCUGUAAUCACAUGAACAAUUAUGUACUUUCAGUCAUUUUUGAAGGAUUAAAACAAAAAAUUCUACAAAUAGAUUCUGAAAAGAAGAAUCUAAAAAUAGAUUCAAAAACAGUAACACAAGUAGAGUUCAAAUUGUUUUUCGGAAAAGAUUAAUUACAGAUCUGAUUGAUUCACGUUCAGAUCUAGCAAAAUCACGGCAGCCAAACACUAGAUCUAACACUAACAGUCACUCACCAGUCCAUUAGAAAAUGAAAUCAAGUUCAAAAUUCUUUUAAAGUUAAUUCUUUUUUAGAAAAUGACCAGAUUUUAGUUGAGUAUUAGUGAGUUUUUUACAAAAUAAUUUAUUUUUGUUUUUUAGAUCCAAAAGUUCGGAAAUCAAAACCAUGUUCAAUGCUUAUUCAUGAUUAACGGCGUAAAAACGCUACUGCAGAGAAGACAUAACGAAAAUGGGAACCGUACCAAACAGAGAAAGAAGAGCAGAGAAAUUGAGAGUCGAGAGGAGAGAGAGAAGAGAGCGGCGAGUUUGGGGGAGUGCCCUCUCCGUUAUUUAUAGCCAAAAAUCAAAUCUGGUUUGGUGGUUGCCUUUGGCGUGCCAACCUGUAGAUCUGAGAUUUUUCAUCUUAAUUUCUUUCUCUUAUUUAUUUAUUUAUUUAUUAUGAUUUUCAGUGCAGUUCAUAAAAUAUAGAGCUGACGCGCGCUUUUCUGAUGUGGCGCGUGAAUUGGAAAUGCGGUAGGUCUUUGUGGGCCCCACGGCACGGUCAGGACUGAAGGAAAAAUGUGAGAAGUUAUCAUAAUUUCAACAGUGCCAUAAUUAGCAAUUACACCACCAAAUAUUUCUUGAGUUUUUUUUUUUUGAUUGCUUUAAAUGCAGAGUUGUUAUGAAUUGUGUUAAUUGUAGAGUUGUUAUGAUUAGAUUACAUUAUAAUUCGUCACAAUUAUGAUAGGUAUGUACGUAUAUAAUAAUUUAUGAGUAAUGAUAUAACCACAAACUCUUAUACAAACUUAUUUUGUACAAAUUGAUGUGGCAUGAUAAAAUUAGUUGAAUUAAAUAUUACUUGAUCCACAUGAUUUGUUAUUAUUAUUUUAUAUUUUCAUUCAACCAAUGAAUUAAUGACACGUCAGUUUGUACAAGAUAAGUUUGUACAAGAGUUUAUGGUUGUAUCAUCACUCAUAAUUUAUAUAAGAUCUCGAAUAUUUAAAAAAUUUAUAAAUCAUUAUUUUCAUGUACAUUUACCUGGUAGCAAUGACAAUAACAUAAAAUAAACUCCAAACAAGAAUGGAUUAUAUUAUUUAUGUUAUUUUAUAGCUUUUUAAUUGAUUUUUAAAAGGAUUAAUUGUUAAUCAUUACUCUCCAACCGUAAUCACCAUUAAAUAUUUAUUUAAUUUAAUAGUCGGUAGAUCAUAAAUAAGAUUAGAAUAUUUAAUGGACAAUCUAAUUGCUACUACAAUUGUUAUCAUUUUUUUAAGGUAAGGGAUUAGACAAUACUCAAAUUUAUUUUUUAACCCCUUACUCCCUAAAGAUUCGAAUUUAACUAACUAAUUAAAUAAGACUGCUUAAAAACCACUCAACCACAUCUUUUGGGGACCAAUUAAUAUCGAUGUUUAAACUGAGGUUUAUUAUUAAAUUUUUUAAGUUUCAAGUUUCAACCGCUAACAACAUUAUCAUCGAUUAAUGAUAAAUAUAAUAAUAUUUCAUCAAAAAACCAUUUAACACAUCCAUCCAUAUUAAACAUAAGUAAAAAAUUUAUCAUGCAUUUCAAAUAUAUUUUUCAUCCUAAAAGUUAUGGAGAAAAUCUUGAUAUCAAAACUUACAAUGUAAUUAUGGGAUGUAAUUUUGCAUUUGAGGUCAGCACAACUUAAAAAUUACUAUGAAUGAAAAUUUAUAAUAAGCAGACACCACAAAAAAAAAUUAUUUAUAAGUAUUACAAUCAUGCAGUUUUAUUUAAGUAUUUAACCAAGUCAUUCAAUUUCUAAUUAAGACGGUAUAAAUUAGAUUUGGGCUGCCUAAGACCAAAAGUCAAAAAAAAAAAAAGAAUAUUCCUAAUAAGCAGCCUACCGCGGUCACGCGCCUUAAGAAACGCUUGGACUUAGCACACGAUUUUAAUCCAAAAUGUAUAAAAAAGGAAAAAUUUAUGAGGUGUAUAAUUAUCUUGAGUUGUUAUAUUUUGAAGAAACAAUGAAGAAAGUUGGUGGCCGAAGUUGAUCCGGGGCGAAUGGUGGUGGGCCCACGUUGUUGCAUUAUAAUUGGAGUUAUUGUAAUUUUUCUUAUAAUUAAUAAACUCCAUUUUUCAAAGAAAAUAAAUAAAUAAAUACACUCCCGAUUACGAAAAUAUCAUUUCAUGAGUGUCAAAGUUAGAGCUGGCAAAAUUUGACACGACCCGAUUACCUGACACGAACACGACAUAAAUAAAUAAGUAUGGAUCGUCAAAUUUAACACGAUUAUUAAAUGGGUCGGGUCUGGGUCAACACAAUUUUUUUCCGUGUCGGGUUUGGGUUAAAAUUCUUGACCCAUUUACCCGAUCAAUGACCCGAUUAUAUUUUCUAUUUUAAAAUAAUUUACAUAUUCUUAUAAUUAAAACUCAAAUAUUAGAGAUAUUUUUUUUAUUCUUUAAAAUGGUGAAUAUAAACACAGUGUUUUAUUUAUAAAAUUUUACAUACAUUUAGAGCUUCAAUAGUGUAAAUGUGUAAAAAUUAAUAGACAUGUAUAUUUUAUAAUAUUGAUAUAUAAUAUUAUAUAUAUAUAAUUAAAACAUCAAUAGUGUAAAUGUGUAAUAUAUUGGUAGAUAUAUAUAUUUUAUAAUAUCGAUAAAUUAUGUAUGUAUGUAUUUAUGUACAUACGUAUGUAUGUAUUUAUGUAUAUACGUAUGUAUGUAUUUAUGUACAUACGUAUGUAUGAUAGUGUGUAAAUAUUUUAUGUAACUUUUGUUCAAUAUAUAGAUAUUAAACGGGUUAUUGGGUAACCCGAUUGUUUUUCCGUGUCGGGUUUGGGUCUCAAUAUUUUGACACGAUUAUUAAAUGGGUCGGGUUUGGGUCGACCUAAAUUUGACACGACACGACACGAACACGACCCGAUGACCCGUUUUGCCAGCUCUAGUCAAAGUGACCGUCACCUACGCAUCGCGUUUGUUGGGCGGGGUGGGUAAGGUGGGGCGAGGAGUUUGUUUGAUCGUCUGAUUACUUUGAUUUUGAUGAAACGUAUGGACGACGGCGAUGGCUUGCCAGCAAGUGGGUUUAUCAUGAUUUUGAUUGUAUUCGGGGAGAUGCUUAUGUAUAUCCUCAAAACUUCUUGGAAAUGAAAACCGCUGGGGUGGCAAAUCUUGACCAAUAAAGUGUGCGUGAUGUUGCGUUUAUAAAUUUCAAUAAUACUAUUGGCCGAUUGAGAUUAUUUUUAAAAAGUUUAAAAAUAAUUUUUAAAGGUUAAAUGUUAAUUUUAAUAUUGAAUAAAUUUUUAAAAAUUAUUUUUGAUAAAAUCAUUUUAUCCUCCAAUAAAUUUUAAAAAAUAGCGAUACAGUAAUUUUUUAAAAUCUAAUUUUAAUAAUCAAAACUAUUUUUUUAUAUAAUUUUAUAGAUAUCCGCAUAUAUAUAUUAUAAAAAUUCGAAAUCAUUAUUAUUAAUUAGGAAAUAAAAUCAUUAACUUUUAAGAAAUUAUUAUUAUUACCAAUUAUACUGACAUAACAAAAUAAAAAAUUAAUUAAUAUUAUAAAUAUUUAUUUCAGUUAUCAACUAUUAUAUAUACACAAUAAAAAAUAUUUUAUAUACAUAUUUAUAAAUGUAUAAAUAAUUUUUAUUCAAUAUUAUAUCGAAUUAAUCAUUUACAUUCUUGCAACAAGUUAACAAUAAAAUUUACCAAACACAUACGAUUGUUUUUAAAACUCAUAUUAUUUUUUUAAAAAAAAAUUACUAAACCUUUAACUGAUUCUCUUACAACUGAUUAUUUCUACAGUACAAUUAACAACAAUUAUUUUAAAAACUAUAACAUUUUCAAACUAGCCCCAUGACAAUAUUGUUAUUGUUGUUUUUCUUACUCUUAUCAAUAAAACUACGUUGCACAUAAGUGCAUAAAAAUUCACACAAAAUAAACUAUUUAACUUUAGGGUAUUAAUUGAAAAAAAAAAUCAGAUUAAGGUGAAUAAAUAUCAGAAAAUAACAAAUAGAUAAACUCUCACACUCUUUAAAAAAAUUAAUUUUAUAAUUUUAUUUAAAACCAACAGAUAUUACCAAACUUAACGGAUCAAUGUUCCAAUGUUUUCUUUUUAAUUUCAAAACCAACAGAUAUUCUUUGUUCAUUAUAUGACCUCCAAACAAAUAAUUUCAUUAAUAAAAUAAUAAUGAAAAGUAUCGUGGUGAGUACAGAGUAAUUCGGUGGCUAAUAAAAGUCUCUAUUUUUCGUCUCUGUUUUUCAUUUUAACUCUUGGGGUUGGUGCCACUUCGGCCUUGGUCGGAGUGGUGGGCUGCUGCCCUCACAAGUAUUGUGAGGACAGUGGUUCAAGCCCCCACAAAUAUUUUUGUGGGGGCUAACGUACUUAUUUAUUUAAUAUUUCAAAAAUUUCUUCUCCCUCGUGCAAUACGAGUGGAGUAUGGACAUCCCUCCUCUAUAAGGGAUUAUUUGUCUGGGCAUGUACUUCACAGAAUUCAAUGUAAUAAUAUAAGUCUCAAUCAUAUAUUUUUGAUUGUAAAUAUCAAUAUAAUAUAUCUGCUAUAAUAGCAGUUGUAAAUAUCUGUGUAAUGCAAUAAUAUGAUAAUUAAUCAUUAUUCAAAAAAAAAACUCUUGGGGUUGGUAGGCUCGUGAAUGGUCCACGUAACCUCUGGACGUAACACUCAAACAAAGACAGCACAAGGCACAUGAAAAAUGCCUAAAAACCGUAAAACCGUGACGUGUUCAACAUAUUAAUAAAUUUAUACUGUGUUUUCUUUUUUUUUUUAAUACUGUGUUGAUAAAGCACUUACGAUGGAACGACCAAUUCUAUUACUUGCAAAACUAAUUAAUAUUUCACUCUAUCAUCUAACUAAUGGAAGGCCAUCUUAAUUGAGGUUGCAAUAGUUAGAAAGUAGCGGGAAGGGUGGCCAAUGCUCCAUAUUAAUUUGCAUCAAUCCCUUUCUGGUGAAGAAGUACGGGUGAAGUAGAGGUCAAAGUUAGAAGAUGAAGGGUGUGUUUGGGAAUUGAGAGUGAGGUGCUGUAGUUUUUUAGCUGCAGUUGCUGUGAAAUAAAAGUUAUAACUGUGGAAUAGAAGUUGAGAAAAAAAAUUUGUUAAGCUGCCAAAGCCCAGUUACAAAUGUUACCAAACACCUUAGUAGCUAGGCUUUGGCAGCCCAUCUACCCCAUCACACUCCCAAACGGAUUAGAAGGGGACCGGGAUUGCUUUGUCAUAUUUGAAAAUGAUUUUGAAAAAAUAAAAAUUAAGUUCAGAAUUUGGUAAAUUCCUUUAAAAUUUCUUUUAGCAAAAUCACUCUCUCCUUUAGAUUUUGAAAAGUAUGGAAUGAGUAGUUUUUUAAAAUUUAAUUUUGAAAUUCGGAUUCAUAUUUAAUAUAAUACCAUAUAUCAUAACAUGUAUUAUAAAAAUCUAAAAUUAUCCUUAUUCAAUCAAUUAAGAAGUAAAAUCUUACAUUUAAAGAUAUUAUCAUUAUCAAUUAUAUUUAGAUAAUAAAAAAUACAAUUAAUAAAAUAAAAAUAUUUAUUUUAGUUAUCAAUUAUUAUAUAUAUACAUAAAAUGUAAUUAUAUAAACAUAUUUAUAAAUGUAUGUGUAAAUUAAAUUUGUAGAUUUAUGUUUAUAUAGAUCAUUUGCAUUCUUAUCACAUUUUAAAAGUGAGAUUUAUUAAAUAUAUAUAUGAUUAUUUUUAAAAUUUACAGCACUUUUUAAAACAAAAGUAUCAAAAGUUUAAUUGAUUCCUUAUUUUUACUGUACAACUAACAGUAAGAUGUGUUUGGUUCAAGUAUAAAAUGAUGGGAUUGGACAAUUUUAAGAUUAAAUAAUCCUAAUGCAAUGUUUGGUACCAAAAAUAAUUGUGGGAUAAAAAUAGUGGACCCCACCAUUUAAUCCAACACAAUGUCAAAAUUUUAUCACAAAGGGGGGUGUGGGAUAAGCUAAAACUUAAACGUAGGAUAACAAAAAAAAAGCCCAAAAUUUUAUACAACACAGUGAUUUUUUUUUUUUUUUGAGUAUGUCAUCAUCCAAUGAUAGUAUAUAUGCCAGAACACUCUUUUGACGUUAAUGAUAUGUAAUAUUUUCAUAUAUACAGCUAGUGACAUUGUUAUGUAAUUUCUUUUUCAUUUAUAGAUUUAUAUUAUUAUUAUAUUUGUUGAUGAUAUUCUUGUUAUGUUUAUAAUUAUAUUAUUUAGUAAUUUAUAAGUUUAAAAACUAUAACAUGUUAAAUAUAAGAAAAACUUUAAGCGAAGAUUUUGUAUUUUUUAACAAAUUUACCAAUAAUUUUUUAUUUAAGUUAGAUUAUAUUCCAUGUCAUUUUAAAAUAAAUCUAAGAUAAUUUUGAUAAAUUAAUAAAUAAGACAUAUUAUUAGUUACUAACCAAUUUCAUGGCAUACCAAACAUGAGAUAUGAUUAUUUACAGUCUAAUCCAACAUUGCACCAAACGUAAUAGAGUAUUAUAUAUAAUCCAAUGUUAUCAAAUCCAAUCAUAUCUUAUCCAAUCCGAUCCGAUCCAGUCUAAUCCAAUUUGACAUACCAAACAAGCCCUAAUUAUGUUAAAAACUACAUCAUUACCAAACUGACCCUUAAUACAAUCUCAUACAUACAUACAUAUAUAUAUAUAUAUUAAAAAUUAAAAAUUAUCUUUAUUUAGUUAGGAAAUAAAACCAUUAUAUUUAAAUAGAUUAAUAUUAUUACUAAUUAUAUUCAGAUAACAAAAUUAAUAAAAUAAAAAUAUUUGUUUGAUUUAUCAAUUAUUAUACACACAUAUUUAUAAAUGCAUGCGUAAAUAAAAUUUUAUAGAUUUAUGUCUAUUUAAAUCAUUUGCAUUCUUAUAACAUUUUAAAAAAAGAAAAGAAAAGUGAUUUACCAAAUACAUGUAAUUGUUCUUCAAACUUACAACACUUUUAAAAUAGAAUUUAAUAAAUGUUUAAUUAAUUUUUUCACAGCUGAUUAUUUUUAUGGUAUAACUAACAAUAAUCUAUAAACUUAUGGUAAAUAUUUGUGUGAAUGUUGGUCCAUGUAAAGAAGUAAAAACAACGCAUAUAUCAAGCAAUAAGAUAUCAAAACUCUUAGUAAAAUACAUAUACUAAUGAAAGAAUGACAGCAAUGCAAUAAAUAAGAUUAUAAUAUAAAUUAUUAAAAUUGUAUAUUAAAAAUUGAUGUAUGAAAUUCUUUUUAUUUUAGUGAUAGAUAAUGUGAUAUAUUUGAAUAAUUUGAUUAAAUGAAAAGAAAAAUAACAAGUAUGGUUGUGGAGGAAAUAAACCAUUGAACUGUGGAAUGUUAUUAAUUAUUGCUAUUUCAUUAUGUAACGUCCUGAUAAUAAGUACAGUGUUAUAGUAUAUUGAUGGGUGGUGAUAUUGUCACCCCUUAAAUUGUGUAAAGUCAACCUCAUUUACAAAUUUUUUGAUAUAAAUUAAAAAGUACAUUAGUUUUAAUAAAUUAUAUAUUUAUUGAAUAAACUAGAACCGUUAGGGAGCUGUAAUGUUAGCACUGUUUUAACUUAUUAUAAAAAAAAAAGUUAUGAUUUGAUCAUAACUCUAAUUUAGAAAAGAAAAAAGAGUUGAAUUGCUAACAUACUUAAAAAUAAAAUAAAAACAUUAUUAUUAGAUGAAAAAUUGUAAAACUUAAGGGGGCAUUUGCAAGUCCGCCACUACUCAAUAGAGCAUUAUUCAGUACUCGUUAAUAUAUCUCGAACUUUUAGGUUUUUUUAAUAUAUUUUUAAUACAUUUUCUAGAACAUUUAGAUAAAAAGAGUCAGUACUCCAAUUGAGUUGUGAAUAAACAUUUAGAUAAAAAGAGUCAAUACUCCAAUUGAGUUGUGAAUAAACUCAUGUUAAAAAAAAAAAAACUCAUUUUCACACUUGAAACGAUUAGUAAAUGGGUGAUACGAAUUUAACUUGGUCAAUAAUAUAUACCAUCUUAAGUUAACUUCAACUCAUUGAUCUUCUAUAGGGUUGAUCAGCCUGCCACAAGGCCCACAAAUUAUCACCUCUAAUGCUUUUGCAACAGUCGUUAUAAAUGCUGACAAAAUGAAACUUCUAUAUAUUUUGGUUUUUUUUUAUUUCUAUGAAAUAUAAGGCCCUUAUGGCAAAUUUCCAUCCAGCGUGAAAUUUGCUAGUUUGGCCUUGGUACUGUGGCACAUGCGUCAUGCAUGCGUGGCUGAGAUGCUUCUAAAACUAAUAAAUUAUGAAGAAUUCCAAAUUCGUACCAAAAAUAAGAGAAUAGGAGCUUGUCAUAGGUGUCCGCGGAUCGGAUUUUAUGGGUUAAACAUUAAUUCAUAUUUGAUUCGUGAUUUUGUAGAUUAUAAAUUUUUAAUUUAAUUCAAUUUAUGGAUUAGUGAAACUCAAUACAAAUUCAAUCCAUAUAUAUGCAAAUUAGAUGCGGAUUUAACCCAAUGCAUAUUCAAUCCAUCAUUUGGCGGAUUGAUUUGCAAAUUAAAAGUUUUUAAUUUUGUCCAAUCUAAAAAGUAAUUAAAUUAAAAAAAUCUAAUAUAUAAAUAAUUGAUUAAAUAAAAAAAUCUAAUGUAAAAAUAAUUUUACUACCAAUUAAAUUCAAAAUUGAACAAGAUUUAAAUAAAUUUAGAAUAAUACAUUCAAAAUUUUAAAAUAUAACACACCGAAAAAAAAAUUCAUUUAUUUAGAUCAAUACAUGAAAAUUAACUAAAAUUAUGAAUUUAAAUGUUGAAACUUGAAAGCUUGGAUGUAACAGGAAGAAUUUAAGAAACUUGAAGAGCUUGAAAAGAAAGUAAGAAAUUAAGUUUAAUUACCUCAAGUGGUGAAGUGAAACAGUGAUUGGCUUGUGCGUGCGGUGGGAUAGAGAUUUGGUGUUAUAUGUCAAAAUAUUUUGUUUGGCUUGGGGUUUUUGUUUUGCUUUAGAAAUUUUAAUGUUUAGGAAACUAUAUUUGCUUAUUUAAUUAUUUCUUAUUUUAUAUUGUUAUCGAAUAAAAUAUAAUAUUUUGUUAAUUUAGCUAUAAUUUUAUGCUGAAUAUAUUUAUUUAAAACGAUUUUAUUAAAUAAAUGUGCAUAUUUAACGAAGGUCUCUGAAAUUUCAACCUGCCUGCUAAUGAUAGCCAAUACGGCACGACCCACCAAAUGUCGGCCCACGCGGGCUUGUGGGCCAUGACGACUUUUUUUGUAAGGGCCCGGCACGGCCCACGGCACGAGUCCGUGCCCAAAAAAAGCCCACCUACCUUUUUUUUUUUUGUCCACAUGUUCAGCGUGCCUAAAAAAACCCACGUGCCUGACGUGCUUUUUUAAGCCCACCAGCCUAAUAGUAACAACAACAACAACAAUAAUAAUAAUUUCAUAGAAAUAAUUAAUGAAAAAUAAAAUAACAAUUCUAGAAUAACAAUUACAUCUAAUUUUAUUUGAACAACUAAUAUUAUAAUUGCACAUAAACUCUAUUGAAUGAAAAUGUAAUUUUUAAUUUAUUAUAAAAAUAUUUUGUUCAUAAUUUUAUUUUUUUGUGCGUAAAUAUGAAAAAUAUUUCAUUCACAAAUGAAACAUAUCUCCAUUAACUAUUAACUAAGUUAUGAUUUCAUAAAUGAAAUAUUAAUGUCGUAAAAUUUUUUAUUUAUCAUUUAUAAAAUCAUGAUAUUUAUUUAUCCAUUUAAUAAAUUAUAAACAUAAAAAAAUUAGAAUACUUAUUUAAACUAGGACUUAAAUUAAUUUUAAAAAGCCUAUACUAAAAAAAUAUAUUAAAAUUUUUAAUUUCAAGGUAUUUAUAAAAUCAUGAUAUUUUAUAUUUAUUUUUCAUUAAAAAAUUUUAUUUUGAUAUACUUUGGCCCACGUGCUAUUGGUGGCCCACGGGCCGCGUGCUUAGCCCACCAAUAAAGUGUGCUUAUUACAUGCCUUUUCGCGUGCCGUGUUUUGCCCCAUCUCUAAUCAUACCGUGCUUUUAAGGCCUGCGUGCCUAAAAUUCUAGGCCCGCAUGCCGUGCCGUGCCGUGCCGUGCCUCGUGCCGCCUGGCCCAUUGGCCAUCCCUACUGCCCGCCAACCACAUUUGUCCAAGAUCAAUUUGUAGGAAAAAAAUUUGAAAAUCAAUAAUUUAUUUAAUUAAUUGUUAAUGUAGGCAUUUGAAUCCCCACAAAAUCUGGGUGUCAGUUCUAGACUUCUGGUGAUAUAUUUUUCUAAUUAAGGAAUAAAAUAUUUUUGUCAUUUUUUUAAUAUUUUAAUUUACCAGGCAUAUCAACUAAUUAAUUUUUCUACUUAGACUAUUAAUUCAUUACGUGCGCAAUCUGUAGCCCGGCGCUCCAAUCCCAUGCAUGUUACACACAACUCAAUCAUUAUUUAUUUAUUUAUUUAUUUUGACCAACAACUCAAUGUUUUUUAUAGAGCUGUCAAAAUUUGACACGACCCGAUUACCCGACACGAACACGACAUAAAUAAAUGGGUAUGGGUCGUCAAAUUUAACACGAUUAUUAAAUGGGUCGGGUCCGGGUCAACACGAUUUUUUUCCGUGUCGGGUUUUGGGUUAAAAUUCUUGACCCAUUUACCCGAUCAAUGACCCGAUUAUAUUUUCUAUUUUAAAAUAAUUUACAUAUUCUUAUAAUUAAAACUCAAAUAUUAGAGAUGAUUUUUUUUUAUUCUUUAAAAUGGUGAAUAUAAACACAGUGUUUUAUUUAUAAAAUUUUACAUACAUUUAGAGCUUCAAUAGUGUAAAUGUGUAAAAAUUGAUAGACAUGUAUAUUUUAUAAUAUUGAUAUAUAAUAUUAUAUAUAUAUAUAAAAUUAAAACCUCAAUAGUGUAAAUAUGUAAUAUAUUGGUAGAUAUAUAUAUUUUAUAAUAUCGAUAAAUUAUGUAUGUAUGUAUUUAUGUACAUACGUAUGUAUGAUAGUGUGGAAAUAUUUUAUGUAACUUUUGUUCAAUAUAUAGAUAUUAAACGGGUUAUUGGGUAACCCGAUUAUUUUUCCGUGUCGGGUUUGGGUCUCAAUAUUUUGACACGAUUAUUAAAUGGGUCGGGUUUGGGUCGACCUAAAUUUGACACGACACGAAACUGACACGACAUGAACACGACCCGAUGACCCGUUUUGCCAGCUCUAGUUUUUUAAUAUGAAAAGGUAUUGGUUAGCUUUGUCUUUAGUUUUUUCAACUUAUAAUAAGUUUGUAUUAAGGCUCCCUUUGGUACAGAUUUUCAAGUAAAACUUAUUUAGGGUUAUUUUUAGGGACCUCCCCUGAGGUUUGGUGUAUUAACAAUCUGAUAGAAAGUAUUCACGUAAUUACAAAGACCUCCCCUGACAUUUGUAUUAUGUUAAGUGGACUGUUAUUGACUAUUGAAAAUCCAAAAAUACCCUUCCUGCCAAAAUAUUUCUUUAUUCACUGAUGAACUGAUGGGUAAUUCGUGCCAAAAUCACAAAUUACUUAAGAAGAUGAAAAUAUCCAUUGGAUAAAAAAAAUGAAAUUGCUUAAUAAAAAAAUUGACAUUGCAUAAUAAUAAAAAAAAUUGAAAUAAUGUGCGGCGGCAUAGCUGCAUCUUGCAUGCAUAUUAUUAUUGUGAUUUUUUUAUUACAAACUCCUUCAUAACUAAUACAUGCCACAAGAGCAGAGCUAUUAAAAGAAAUGAUUUUCAUAUUGUAAACUUGAUAGUACAGGUGUUGGCACCGACCAUAAAACCCUUAUGAUACCAAUCUUUGCUCCAUCCAUAUUUAAAUCCAGAUCAAGUAAAUAUUAAAUUGGAUUUCAGGUCCUGAAAAUCCUACUCUAUAAUUGAUAUCUUCGAGUUUUGUUGGUGCCUCAAACCUGGAUCUAGAGCAUCAUCUCUGUCAUACUCGGAACACCUAAACUAAUGGACUUGCUGCAGCUGCUUAUUCUUCUUCUGAAAUGAUGCACGCAUAUAGAUUACAGACUUUGAAAUAAGAAAUACAAUAAACAACAUGUAAUCGAACUUAAGAUUUCGGCACACUUGUUUGAAAAUUAGAAUCAAACAAGGAAAAUGGCAAGUCAAUAUUUUUUAAUCUAGAAAAAGGGAAAUUUCAAAGUUUAUCACAUGCCAAAUUCAUAGUCUUGCAUCCACUAUUUUCUAGUUUGAAUAACAAACAAAAGCCUUAGACAAAAACACAGAGAACAUCUCACAUGGGAGCAAAAAUUGUGUGUAGAACAAUAUACUUAAGUUACAUGUGAUUACAAUCACAUUAUUUAGCAAAUACAAAAUUACCUUCUCAAAAAAAAAAAAAAAAAAACAACACCACCAAAUUAUUGAAGGUAUUACAACAAUAAGGCAAAAGAACACCAAAGGCAUGCACAAACCGAAACUAACACACAACUCAAUUAGUGUCAUGACCCCAAACUGAACAAUCAUAUAAGCCAUUGUGGGCUCUCUAAAAGAUUAUCACAUUAUAAGCAAACAGAAACCUAUAUUUGAUGAACUACAUCUAGUACUUACACAACUCUUAAAUCAUUAGGAAAUUGCUCUUAUCAGUCAUUACCCAAUAGUUUUUUUCAACUCAACACUAACAACCCCAAAGAGAAACAACAUCCAGCACCAUUUUCAUUAAUUAAAACAGACCCAUUGUUAUUUUUAAUCAAUAAAAUAACAACAAUAUCGUGUAAGCCACUGAUUCAAGCAUUCAAGCUGUGUUUUCGAAGACUGACCUCUUCUUGCUAUCUAAUUCCAGUCACGAUAGACGCUAGAUGCCGGCAAUACUCGCUUCUUGGAAGCUCUGGACCACCGCACGACGUCAUCUUGUGCAGUAGAUGAAAAUAAAUCAAUGAUUUCAGAAAUUAUUUGUGAGUUGCAGACGCUUCUUCUCCAUGGAUGAAAAUGAUGGUGGGUUUUGUUCAAGUGUAAGCUGUGUUUACGAGGAGAAGUACACUUUGUGAAAAAAUCAUUUUCUUUCAUCUACUGGAUAAUGACUUUGGACUGGGUAAUGGUGUGUUUAAGUCUCUAUUUCACGGACAUUGAAGCAUAUUUUGCUUGAAUUUUGAUUUUGUUUAAAUUUCAAGUUUACUUUUACUUGUUUACCCUUUUAUACUGACGCUUAUGUAUUUUUAUACUAACGUUAAGGGAGGUCUUUGUAAUUAUAUGAAUACUUUCUAUCAGACUGUUAAUACAACAAACCUCAGGGGAGGUCCCUAAAAAUAACCCAACUUAUUUAAAUAGAACUUUUACAAAAAAAAAUUUAGUUAUUUGGUUGUCAAUAAACUUUUCAAGUAUACUUUGUUUGGUACAGCUUUUCAAGUAAAACUUAUUUAAGUAGAGCUUUUACAAAAAAAAAAAAAUUAGUUGUUUGGUUGUCAAUAAAAAUUUUUAUUAAAAAAAAUAUGAAAUUACUUUAUUAGUCAAGUUUUUUUAAAGUUAUGCUAUGAAAAGAAUAAAAUAAGAUUGUCAAAUAAAUAGAAAAUAUUUUAAAUAUUUUAACAUUUAAAAAAACUUUUUAACCUUUAUUUUCAAAAAUCUAAAAUUUAAACUUUUACUAGUAAAGGCAAAAUAAUUUAUUUAAACUUCAAAAGCUUUAUUAGAAAAAUAAUCAAACAAUAACAAAAAUUAUUAUAAAAGCUUAUCGAAUUAAAUAAGUACUUAUAGUUAUUAAAGAAGUUAUAUCUAACAGACACUAAUGCCGAAAGCCCCUUCUAAUUGUGGGUGUAAAAGUUUGAAUUAUGCAUACGGUUAAGGAGUUAAGGUGUGUUUGGCAACUGCAUUAAGUGGAAAUUUUUAUUUUGUUUCGAAUAAAAAUACAGCAAGCUCGUGUUCGGCUCAAAAUAAUGGAACGUUUAAUUUGCAACCGUCGGCGGACGAAGCACACCGUUCACGGCCCUUCGUAUAAAAUUGCAUAUGUAAACGUAAAUAGGUCCGGAUUCAGAUUCGUUGCUGUAGAGAGUGGCACGCACGAUCGGGCUGCUGUCGGUGGUAGGUUGGCAUUGGAAUUCUCAUCACGCGCUUCCCCAGGCGCCUACUUAUGGCAAAUUGACACGUGACGCGUGUGGAUUGAAUGGACAGAGUCCCGGGCAGUGUGUCCAAAGCUGCCAACCGUGCUCUGAUUUUUGUCAUCCAUAAUGGCUAACGACUAACGAGGGAGAUUUCCGGGCAGAAAGAAAUUGUUGUCGUUUCUGAAGGGGAAAAAAAAGUUAUUUAAUUUGUUGUUGAAGACAAAAUGAAGAUCUAAAUAAAUAAUGGCUAAUUUUGAGUGUAAAGCAACGGUAAAUGCAUUAUUAAAUUAGAUUUAGGGUCUGAUUGAGAUUAUUUUUAGAUUUAAAAUUAAUUUUGAAAAGUUAAAAUUAAUUUUGAUGUUUAUUAAUUUUUAUUAAAAAUUAUUUUUGUCAAAAUCUCUCAUCCUCCAGCAUAUUAUAAAAAAUAAGGAAGAAAUAAUUUUUUAAAAUUUAAUUUUAAGAAUCAGUUUUAUACUUAAUAUAAUCCACAUAUAUCCUCGUAAAUAUUAUAAAAAUUUAAAAUUAUUCUUAUUUAUUUAGGAUAUAAAAUUAUUAAAUUCAAACAUAUUAUUAUUAUUAUUAUUAUUGUUAUUAUUAUUAUUAUUAUUAUAAAUUCACACACGCACACACAUACUUAUAAAUUUAUAAAUAAACUUUAUUUAACAUUUUGUUCACUUAAAUCAUUUAUAUUCUUAUAGCAGUUUAACAUUAUGAUUUACCAAACACAGAUAAUUAUUUUUAAAAUCCAUAAUAUUUUUUAAAAUAAAUUUUAAUAAAUGUUUAACUUAUUAUUCUGACAACUGAUUUUUUUUGUAAGGUAUAACCAUUAAUAAUAAAUAUUUUAAAAGUUACAGUAUCCCCAAAUUGGCCCUUACUAAUACUCUGCGUUGCCAACUAAAUACUAAUUGUAACAUUAAACAUCUGGAAUAUUUUUCUCUAACGAAACAACACAAUUAAUUUCCCUCUAAAAAAGAAAAAGAAAAAGAAAAAAUAAACUACCAACCCCACCCCUUUAGACAGCAGAGUUUUAGCUGAGGCGGCUUGCUUGCAUAAGCAUUAAGGCUGCUCUUCACCAACCAUUGAACAUUCUUUCCAUUUGAUUGUUACACUUUACUUCGCCAUCUCAUGUCCAUGUACAUUGUUUUGAAAUGAAGACUUUGCGUACAACUAAUCUUUUUCAAUUCAUAAUAAAAACUCUUUUAAUUAGUUAAUAGCUAUAGCUUCCAAUUGAGACUAUAUAUAAAAAUCCAUAUUGACUGACCAAACCAAUAAUUUUUAAUUGGCUUGAGCAUUGUCUUACUUACUUCAAAAUCGUCACUCUCUUUGAAAAGAACAUGAGAGAGUUCACCUCCAUCUCAACCCUUAACCCUAUAUCUCAGUCAAGAGAUUAUUCAUGGAAAAUUCAGAAAAAAGAAAUGUUGCAAUAUUUACGAAACUCACGUCACGUGAGGUAAGAUAAAUUAUUCCUUUCUGCUUUAAUUCAUGUACAUAAUCAUGAGAAUAACUUUAAUUAUAGUUUAUUUCUCCGUUUUAAGAUUUUUCCUUUUUUUUUUUUAAUUAAUUAAUUAUAGUUCAUUCAUUAAUCCCAUAAGAAAUUAACACCUUUGCCGGUAAAGUCACACAUACAACAAUAUUUUAGAACAAAAGGGAAGAUCAUGCACGAUCAUGAUGUUUUAUUAUAUCUCUAGCAAUAUAAUUAUCUUAUAAUUAAUUAAAAACAAAACAGGUAAUUAAGCCAAAGUGGAUGGCAUGCAUCAAUCAUCAUGCAGAACACCUCCCCUUGUUUUAAAUAUAAAUAAAAGAAAUUUGUGCCCAGAAGACUUAAUUAAUACUUCUCGUUUCUGAAGUGCUCACAUGAUAUAUAGUCGGACGCAUUAUAUUUAAUUUCAUGAAUUAAUCGUACGGUUGUAUUUUGAGAGAGAGAGAGAGAGAGAGAGUGACUGAGUAAGAUAUGGCUUAAUUUAACCAAAUCUACGUAUAAAAUUUUAAAAUGAAUUUUUGAGUUUUAACUUAGGAAUUGUCUAUGAAUAAAAGUGUUAAUCAAAUAUUUCGUGUAAAAACAGUCAGCUGUAACAUUUUCGGUUGCUUUAACAAAACUGUAUAUUUCUGUAAUUUCCUAUAUGGGCCAAAAGGAACAUUUUUCUCAGAAAUUAAAAACUUAUGGUGAAAAAGAUAAGAAAACCAACAGGUUCAAAGGUGCGAGUAAACUGGGCUCUGGUGCGCCCAACUCCCUCUUUUGAUUUUGAGACUCUAUUGACCAUUGAGUUUGAGGCCCCAACGGCCCAGUUUAAAACUGUUAUGAAAAGAAAAAAAAUAUAACUAUAAAAUUAAAAUUAAUAAUGUUUGAUAAAUAUAAUUUUUAAAUAAUAAUUUGACAAAAAUAAUAUAGGGUCUUGUGUAUAUUUUUAUUUGGCAUUUCAAUUAAUCUGCUUAUAUAUAUAUAUAUAUAAGUUAAUCUAUAUUUCUUGCAAGAAGAUAGUAUUUCUUUAAUUAAAGUCAUAACUAAUAUAUAAAUUAUCAACUAACCAUCAAACAUUUAUCUCAUUUUAUCUCCACCACGAUCAUCACCAUUCAUCCUGUCACGAUCUUUAUGUAACUACAAUUAUUUUUUCUUUAAUAAUGUCAACCCACCAACCCCAUAACAAUAUCUCCAAACAUCUCAUCUCAAAAUUCCUAAUAACAUAAGUGUUUAUGUAUGAAAGAAAAUGUGAAAUAUAUAAUCAAAAAGUAGUUUAAUAAUAUAAUGUUUAAAAAUUAUGGUAAAAAUAAGUGAGAGUUUGGCAUGGCAAGUUAAUAAAAAGAUAAAAGCUCGGACACUUGAUGCAUCAAAGUAGCAAUGUCUGUCCAUCAUUAUCAUCAUGCGGGUUUAGGUGCUUCUCAUGAUAGCAUUAGCUGGUAAGACCAUCAUGCAUCGUACUUUCAUUGUUAUACAUUUUGAAGGUAAGAAUGGUUAUGUUACGUCCCUCCGAUUAGGUGUAUUUUUCUUCUUCUUCUUCUUCUUUUUCUUCUUCUUGUACGUAAUAAUUUCUCUUUCUUCCAUGAAGAUUUCUUUCUCUCUUUCUUUUUUUUUUUUUUAUUAUAAAUAAAAUGAUAAGAACUAAUUUCCUUACUAAUUGGUAGGGUCGUUUAAUGGUUCAGAUCCAUUAGAUUUUGUCAAAUUCAAGUCCAAUCCAUCAUAUAUUCCAUUUUAUAUUCCGGAUCCGAUCACUAAUAGAAAUCCAUUAUAAUUUAAAACAAUAAAACGUCGAAUCCAAUUUAAUUCGAUAUGAUCAAUCCAAUUAAAAUAAAAAUUUACAAAUAAAAAUCAUUAGUUGCUCUCUCCAGUUAUAAUUCUUAACAAUUAAAAAAAAUACAAAAUAUCAACUCCUUUAAUAUUUCAUGAUUCAUGUACUUUAUUAUCAUAUGGUUGGAAAAAAAAGUUGAAAUUUGAAUAUUAAAAGCAAAUGUUGGUUGCGACCUGCUGUUUGUAUUCUAUAUUGUUAUAGUAUAUUUAUAGUUAUUUUUUUAGCAAGUUAAAUAUAAAAGUGACAUAUAGUUUUUUUUUAUAAAAAAAAAUAAAUAAAGAAAAUAAAAAAUUAAUUGGUUGGAUUGGUUUAUAUUGGAUUUGAACAUAUAGAUCCAUAGACCAAUCUAAUAACAUUAUAUUUUUUAUUUUGCAAUCUUAUCCAAUCCAAUCAAAAUGUCAAUAUGACAAAAGUUGGAUUGGUUUUGAUCAGAUCGAUUGGUUUGAUUGGAUUGAAUUGAAUUAGAUCUUGAACAUCCUACCAAUUAGACUUUCCGUGAUUUUUUUUUUUCCAAAUUUAAUAAAGAGACUUCCCAUGAAUGUUAAAUGCAGUUUUAUUGAUGAAUUCUGCAAUUUUAAGAAAUGUUUGAUACACGAAUAAUGCAUCUCAUCAACCAAGUAACUGCGUCCCCUGCAGCAGCCGCGGCUUCAACUGGAAUACUGCAGCCACACCGGUCUUGAGACUCAACAUUCGGCCGAAACUCAAGCAAAAGUUGAACAAUAUCAGGCCUGCUUUGAGCUAUAGCAAUAUGAAGCAAUGUUUGUCCCUGCGCACCAGCAGAAUCAGCUGGGUGGGUUCCAAGCAGGGUCACUCUGUUCAAGAACCUCUCUUAUCUCAUCCAUUUCACCAUCCUUAACUAGCUGAACCACAACAUGGGACCCAACAAACAUGAUCUUGAUUCCUAUUGAUGAACGCUGGCUUCUUCCUUCUUGUGAACCAGUCACCAGGAACCGAAUCAAGCAUCAAUGUUGCAUCUUUAAUUGCAGCUGCAGGAACGACAACGCUAUGCAAGAGGAAGGAAUCAUCACAGUGAGGGAAAGUAUGAAGGAGAACUGAUCCUGGAGGAAGAUGAUACGCAAUCUCUAUGCUUACUGUUCCGAGUGGUUGCAUUGACCUGAAUAGUUCGAUCUAUUUCUCGUGUAUCUACUUGCGCUGCACUUUCACUCGAAGAACCUACAAAAUUAUUCAUAACCCGGCAUAAAAAAGACGUAAAGUUUUCAGCGCGAGCAUGGUAACUUCAAAACCCGUUUCAUACCUAUCAUAUUUCAUUCGUCCCGCACCCUCAUUUAAAAGACUAGAGCUUAUAAAAACUAGAAGUACCUUACCCAGAACAUAAAAGCAGACAAAACCCAGUCGAGUAUAAAUAUAACGUUGAAUAACACCUACCAUUUACCAUUUCAUUCAAGAACACCACACAAUUAACGAAACCAACAUCGGUAUGUUUUCAGCCGUUGUACUUUCAACUUAAUUUUGAAAGCGCGGCAGCUAAAGCCUAAACUGUUGUUUGAUAAAAGUCCACCCACUGACUGCUACCUGGCGGCUACCGAUUCCAUUCAAUAGCAGUCAUAAAAUAAAAAGUACAAAACAAACCUAUGUACAAAAAAGGCAAUGAAGCAGCCAUGGAUUCAGUUAUUUGCAUGUUUGGGAUUGUGGUUGAUUCCAAAUUGAGAAUAUACUGCGAAAUUAUGUUUGAUAAGCAUUUAUCUGAUGAUUGCUACUUUAUUGAGUGCCUGUUUGGUAUGGCUUAUUUAAAAGCCAUAAGUGCUUAUUUAAUCGUAUAAGCACUUUUUUAAAAUUUUUAUGGUGUUUGGUUAUUUUUUUAGUAGAGUUUUUUUAGCUUAAAUAAGCUAAUUUACCUCUACUAGCAAAAGCCCAAAAUUUGAGCUUUUGGGAGUAGAGGUUAAAGAGCUUAUCUAAAAAAUAUAUAAUAAAAAAAAUAUCAUACAGUUUAAUGAUUCAAAAGUGUUUUUUUUAUUGACAACCAAACACCCAAUGACUUUUUGUCCAAAAACUCUAUUGGUAUAAGCUCUAUUGUUAUAAGCUCUAUUUAAUAAGCUGUACCAAACGGAGCCUGAGUCUUCAAAGAAAAACUCAAUCAACUAAUGCUCGAUUUUUUUUUUUAAAUGACAAAUCAAAAAGUAUUUUGGAGUAGAUUCUCAAAAGAGUGAUUAUUUGAUAAUCCACCAUAAUCCCACUUAGUUAUCAGAAAUAAAUUAAAAUCCGACGAAUGUUACUUAAGCCAAACAGCAUUAUUUUAUUUUGACCACAAGGACCACAACCCUCAAGCUGUCAAGCAACCGUUACCGUUAACGACCAAUCUUUCACCUCUCCGAAUCUUUGCAAGUCACUAUCAAGCAACCGUUACUAAUAUUUAAUCAAUUAUUAGGAUUAUUGGAUUUCUCAAAUACCUUAUGUACUUUGGUUCACUUUCUACUAAAAUAAAUAUUACAGGAGCUUUCAAAGUCUAGGCUAAGGUUGUUGUAAACAUAGAGAGAUUCAGAGAUAUAACAGCUUGUAAUUACAUACCACAAAGCAUAACUUUGUUCGAAUGAUAAUGAUCAUAAUCCAGAUUAUAGACGUAGAGAGAGGAGAAGUCGUACUUGAGGGGCAAAACGCGGCGUUUUGGCUCGUGGAUGAGGUGCUGCUCCUGAUCGUCGUAGAUUGAAGGGAGGAGAGGUCGGUCGAGGAAGUUUAGGAGACGGUGGAGGCUGAAUUGGUGAAUUUCGAUGAAGACUGACGAAUCCAAUGGGGCUUGAGGGUUUGAUUUGCAAAGAUGAAAGAUAAGAGCAUUGUUUUGGUUUCUGUGCAAAAAAAAAAAAAAAAAAACAUGACAAGCGUUGUUUUGGUUUUGGUUCUAAAAAGAUGAAAAUUUGACUGCAAUGGAUCCAUACGCAGUCGGUGUCAAAUAAGAGGAGAAACAAAUAUGUUAAUCACUCGCUCAAUCACUCAUGCGAAGUGCCUUUUUUUUCGUUGCUUUGGCUUCUGAGAAAUAUAUGCAUCAGAUAUUACAACUCUCGAGGAUAAUGCAUUUUGUUCCGGUUUUGACUGAUAUUUAGUGGCAUUUGAUAAACUGAUACCUCAGAACCUGGUAGAGAGUUUAUUAAAUACAAAGAGAACAAAAAUAUAUGACUAUAUAAGCUUUUACACGGUUGAAGAUCCGGUCAAAUUGGCUUUAGUUAGCAAGAUCAUUUAAAACUUUCAAAAAACGAAUGGUAUCAAAAAGCUCUGAGAAAAAGCGGAAAAAAGGCACCACAAAGAUCUUGCAAUUAUUAUCACAGCUUGAUAAGACAUGGAAAUGUAUCUUACAAAUUGGCCUUCCAAGCAUCAAAGAAUUGGGUGGCGACAACUCCCAUUCCUAGCUGCUACCGUGGCCAGUCCCUUCUAACUAAAAUGGGACAGGACCAAAAGCAAGGUCUCUCCCACUCUCCUUAUGUAUAUAAAAUUCCCUACAUUCGAAUAAAACUACAGAAAAAGAUUUGCACAUCAUCUUCUUUCACCUUAUUUUGCAAUCUUCAAGAGUUUGGAAGAUUUCAAAGCACUUGUUAGAAUGUAGCACUCCAUUAAGCAUUCUCACCUUCCCCACACCCCAAUGGACCUCCUUAAUCCUAUCGGCAGACCUACAAAUUCUGCUGCAACUCCAAUCAAAUAAAGCAACACAAUUGUUGCCUGCCUAAGCCUUCCACUCACAGCCUGCAAUGACAAGUUCAUGAUACAAAAUCAGAAACAUUAAUAAACAAAAAGAUAUUACCAUUACUUGCAGAGGGGGAUUUGUUGCAAUUAGUAAAUGCCAUACUUAUCACUUUCAUUGCAGAUAUCAUCAUCAUCAUAAUACUAGCAAUCCAGCACUAAUAGUCAGAAUAAUAAUAAUAGUAGCAUGAAUAAAGAAUUUCUGCAGAGUAAGCUCUAAAGAUGCCGAAAGUGUCAUCUAUUAUGUUAAUAAUAAAAAAGUCUAUCAAGAAUUCAAGGAAAGAAAACUCAUUAACAAAGAACUAAACUUUUUAAUAAUGUUUAAUAAACUACGUACCUAUGAUUUUCUAUUAUUAACAUAAAUGACACUACGUACAACUGAUUUUCGCUUUCUAAUGUUUCAAAUCAUACCGAGAAAUAUAACAAUUACCAAGUCAGUAAGUAGCACAAUUACUUAAUAAGACUUUGACUUGUCUAACCCAAAAUUGUACCCAAUUCUAUACUCUACCAUGAAAAGCUUAUGAAGCCGAACUUACUUUGACCAAACAGUACUAUUAGCUCAGUUAAAGGAAACCACAAUUGAACAAAGUUCAGCUGAAAUAACUGAACUAAAAAAACUUGAUAAAAUUAAAAGUAACUUAUAACAGUUUAGUAAAGAAGCAUACAAAACAUGAAGAUAAAUAAACAUAGGUCUAUUUUCUUGACACUACCAGGUCCUUUCCUUUUUUUUUUUUCAGAUAAGAUCUCGAUACUACCAAGUUUUGGAUUCAAAAUCACCAUAUUACAAUAAUAGUUGUGAUUCAUGGGAUACAAUAUGUAGCAGCUUAUAUGUCGGCAAUUAUAGUCAAAGAUGGUUGUCAAACAUCAUCGCAAAUCAAGAAGCUAAUAAAGACCAUGUCACACUACAUUAACAUAUAUCAGUUCUUUGAUACAAAGAUAUUGAAUGUUAUACAUUUCUAAUCCCAAGUCCUGAAAUACAAAACAAAAGUUCACUUCACACAGUCAUAAAGCUAGACUGCUAGAUAAAUGGACAAUAGGCAUUGGAUAUGGGUCAAUAAACUAUUAAGCUAAUUAAUGCACACGAAGGAAUCCGUUAGAGCUAGUAAAAUAGCCCUUACCAGAGAACUCGCAGAAGCAUUCAAUUUCCUCAAAGGAGAUAACUUACAACAUAAACAUUUUGAUAAGCAGCAACACACAUAAAAUAGCUUCACUCACUAGCAACAGAGCAACUUCUUCAACACAUUAAUAAAUCCAUUUUCAUUUUUAAACAACAAAAUAAUGCCCAGUUUCUCCAGCACAAAUAGGGUAAGCAGUAAUAGAAAAACAUGAUACAUAGGAAUUACCGGCCUCAAGAAAUCUCCAAGCUUUCUGUCCUCUGCUUCAAUUGCUCAAUCAAGAAUGCCCCAGACGUUGCGCUAGCGUGGUGGUGGAGCGUCGCGAAGCGUGUGGCGGCGGUGUCGGCGAAGGCAGGUCAUGAAGAUAGUUGGUGUCGCGCAGCGAAGGCAGUGCAGCUGGUGUCAUGCGGCGAAGGCAAAUCGCGUGGUGGUGGAGUUGGGGUCGCGCGGCAGUGGCGGUGCGGUGCUGAGGCAUAAUAGUGGCGGUGGCGUUGUGCGACAGUGGCAGUGUGGAGGCAGAUUGCGUGGAGCUGGCGGUGUUGAGGCAGAUCGCGUGGAGGCAGAUGCCGCGGUGGUGGAGUUGCUGUCGCGAUCAACGCCUGUGAAAGGGAAUGAAAGUGAAGGAGAUACCUACAAAAGAAAGAACGAGUGAAAUUUUUUUUUUUGUUCAAGGGUUUCAAACCCACAUAAACCCGACUCUCACACGGGUUCAGUAAGUUUAUGCGGGUUUGACUGCAUUACAAAUUGGUAUGACCACAACAACAGUACAAUGAUUGGUAAUUACCAAACAUGCUAUUUAUGUUGGUAUUAAAUUAAUUUAAUACAAUGAGGAGUGGUAAUAUCAUACAAUGAGGACUGUUAAAUAUGGUGUGUUUAAUAUGUUGUAUUGUAUUAUAUUAUUUUAAUACAAAUAUAUUAUAUUAUCUUGUAUUAUAAUAAUAUUAUAUAAUAUUUUGUGCUACAUUGUGUUGUAUUAAUUUAUAAUUAUAAUAUAUUUAAUGUUGCACCACGCUGUACUAAUUUUUUUAGUAAUCAAUUUAAAUUAUAUAUUUUACAAAUAAUAUUUAUUAAAAUACUUAAAAAUGCUAAAUAUGAAAAUAUUGAAUUUUAAAAAUUUAAUAUUAUUUUUUUAAUAUAAAUAUUAAAAAAUAUCAUAAUUCUUCAUAGAAAUCGAAGUUCAUGGCAUUAAAUUUUUAACGCCGCAUACAUAAUAAAAAAUUUGAUUCUCUAGUGCCAAUAUAAUAGAAUACAUAAAAACGAGACUGAGAAACUACGAAUAAAGCUCAUCAUCAAGGACUCCACAACAUUAUAAGAAGUACUAUGUAACAUUUGCCAAAUUACAACACCACAUCAAGACAUAUCACAAUGUAAAAUUUUUCCUAGAGAUUUGGUAAUUGAAAAACACAAUUCAAGUUGAAAACUGAUAGUCGACUUGAAAAGUUUUAACAUAUCCCAUAAAAGAAAUGUGCCAUGCCAAAAAUCCUAACCCUUGGCUCUUUGACGAUAAGAAAAUAUUGAAAAUUCCAAAGUACAGUGCAAUGGGAGAAAGAAUGCCUAUAAAGCUAGUAAAGAUAUUCUUAAACUACUAUUGGGAUGUUGGGCUGGUUGGUAGCAAAACCCAAACCCUGCUGCUGAUUUCCGAUACCACCAUCUUGGAUAAGCCGCUCUCCCUCCUCUUCCUAACUCCUAAGCCCAAUAUCUUUCCAAAACCUUCACAACCCACUCAUAAAUCUCAUUGUUGUCGUGGAUAUGCAAAUUCUCAAUCUUUUCUACUCCAUCACACUCAUCAAUCAUUUGGGUAUAAACAUUAACCCAAUUAUCCAUUCCUAUUUCCUUGUUAACCUCACCCACCUUGAAAAUGUUCUCAAGACCCUAUAGACAAACUGUGACGAUCCUUUGGUCCAGACAAACCAGAAGAUCACAGAGCGGUUUGAUGCAACCUUGGCUCACCAGGAAUCUGCAGGACCAUGGUACCAUAAGUGAUUCUAUCACAUGAACAUCAUUAGAUUAAAAAAAGAAAAAAAAAAGAAACAUCUAUCGUAUGAACAUUGCUGAGUGAAUAAAAGAAACAUACUGAAUAUGUUCAUGAGAUCCUCCAUAUGUGGCAUUUAAGACAGGCCAUGCAGCCUCCUUGAUUUCAAGUUCUGCAUGUUGAAGAAGAGGUGCACAAAAGGAAGGAUAAGGAAGGAUGAUAUUGGCCUCCAUAACAGCCUGUUGAACAAAAAUUCGACAAAUUAUAAUUAUGAGUAUAUUUAAGUAGCAAUUUUGUCAGAAUUAACUAGACUUGACUAUUGAGGAAGUCACAUUCAAAAAUAGAAAAGACGAGCAAGCAAUUGUAUUCAUGCUAUCGGGACCAAAAUACUAUGAUGCAAGCAAGAAAGAAAAACAUACAUACAUAUAAAACACUAUCUUUGAGUUGGGUAUUUUCUUUCAAUUUUGAUAAUGGCAACUUUGGAUUCUUCUGCUGAAUUACCACCACCACCACACCAUUGUAGUUUCACAUACUAAGAAAAGGCAGGUUCAGCUCCCGUGCAUGCCCAUAAGAAUAUGAUGUAUUAAUUAGAAGUAAAAUUAAUCUGUUCAAUUAAGUUCUCUCAUAUAUUUGUGUGCGUGUGUGUGUUAAUUAGUUUGCUUUCAAAUCUUUUCUCCCUUCUUAAUGAUAUAUAUUUUAAGCAUGAUAUCAACCACGAUGAAUUUAUUAGCCGAUUUUUAAUUAUACAUUCAGCAUGAUAUCACAAACCAAGAGCUUAAGUUAGCCUAAUUCUUCAUAAAUCUAAUAAUUGCAAUCAAUAAUAAUGCUGAAAAUACGAGUUUGAAUUAAGCUAGCAACUGGUUCUUAAAUUAUGCAAUAUGUAAUCAUAGGUUUACUUAAAGAUUAAAGCAUUUCUGCAAUCCAUUGUGCAAAAAGAUUAAAAAAAAAAAAAAUAGUUGCCAAAUUUUAUCUAAAUAAAAAUUCCUUUAGUGGUUAGUACUUGUGAAUUAUAGAAAUUAUUAUUAGUACUUGCUCAGCGCUUUUUAGAUUUGUACAGGUAGAUUACGCCAUUUCAAACCCGACCAUCCAUUUAGACAUACAAAUCCCCCCAAUUCCCUGUCCUCCGCCUUUACGCGACUCUCCACUGUAUGUGCCAACUAAUUAAUUUUUUAAUUACUUGUUUAACUAAUUAAUUCAUUUUCUCAAAAGCAAGAUUAAUCUAUUUGUUCAAAUCUGAAGGAGAUUAAGUUAAUUGAUUUUAUUGUAUGUAAAAAUAUACAAAGAACUCAUGAAGCCAACUAGAAAAAAAAAAAAAGACAAAAAAAAAAUCAAACCCAGAAAUAAAAAGACAUGCUUCGACAGAAAAUUAAUGAAAAUUAUACUGAUUGUGGUUCAAUUUGAUCAAACCCAAAUAAUAACCGGUUUGAUUGAUGACUCAGCGGCAAAGUGCAGGCGCAUCAGUGGUUGCACAGAUGAGUGUUCUCGUGCGGCACGACAAAGCAAUUGUCGGCGAUUGUGAUUGGUGAUGACAUCGAGCGAUGGGGGUAAUGGCAUCGGUCGUGACUUUGUGAUGGAGAAACGAAUGUUAGAUUCGUUCGAAGAUUCGUGUUUUGAUUGAAUAACAAAGAGAGAUUUUAUGAGUUUUAAUUAUCUAAUACGAUACCGCAUAAACCCGACUCGUACGUGGGUUUAUUUUAUGCGGGUUUCGGUGUACUAAAGCAGUAAAUUUAUGUGGUGCAAUUCAAACUGAUUUCACCGCCAAAAGAUCGUGUAAAUUUAAUAUUAUACAGGGUUUUAAUACUAUGUAAUCCAAUACACCAAACAUGCCCUUAAAAACGGAUAGCAAUCCGGGGCCUUUAAAAACGGAUAGCAAUCCGGGGCCUUUAAAAACGGAAAAUACAAGCAGAGAAAAAGAAAAGCCAAUUGUUCAAAAGUGCCUAAUAUGCCCACGGAAAAUUUUCGUCACGACCCACAGUUACUCGAAUAGGUAAUAAGACAGGAAUGCCUUUGUUUGUUCGAAUAUAGAAGCACAAUGGCUCAGAAAGGAUCCCUCCAAUCUCCUUGGCACUGUCAGCUGGGUGCGGAGUAGCUUGGUGGCAGCAACCAUGUUUGAGAGGGCUGGCUUCACCUCAGUGUACUUGCGAGUCUUGAGACCACAGUCAGGGUUAACCCACAAAAUGUUGGUUUCUAGCACAGUACGCAUCUCGUAGAUUCUGUCAACAAUUUCUUCGGUUGAUGGUAUUCUUGGAGAGUGGAUGUCAUAGACGCCAGGGCCAAUUGCAGCAUCAUACUGGACUCCCUCACGGAAGACUGACAGGAGAUUCUCAUUAGAACGAGAGUUCUCAAUGGUGAUCACAUCAGCAUCCAUGUCGAUAAUUGAGUGGAUAAUGUCGUUGAAGUUGGAGUAGCACAUGUGGGUGUGGAUCUGUCAAUCAAUAAACAAUAGAAUGAGAUACAAAAUCAACAGCUAAAUUAAAGAGAUGAGAUUGGAGAUUAAAAGGGUAACUGACCUGGGUAGUGUCCUGGAUGCCACAGUUGGUGAUUCUGAAGGAGUGGACUGCCCAGUCCAAGUAGAAAGCAUGCUCAGAUUUCCUGAGAGGCAAUCCUUCCCUCAAGGCAGCCUCAUCAAUUUGAAUAACGUUAAUGCCUGCCUUCUCAAGAUCCUCGACUUCGUCCUUGAUGGCCAAAGCAAUCUGGUAGCAGGUUUCAUGUCUGCAAAAUUGGCAGCGAUUGAUGUUAAACAAUGUUUCCAUUCCAAAAGGUUAACCAAUAGUGAACCAGUUCUCAUUUAUAUACCUGGGCUGGUCAUUUCUGACAAAGGACCAGUUGAGAAUGGUGACAGGGCCAGUAAGCAUUCCCUUCAUUGGGCGAGCAGUCAUGCUCUGAGCCCAGGAGGACCAGAAGACGGUCAUAGCCUUGGGACGGCUCACAUCACCAUAGAUGAUGGGUGGCUUCACACAGCGAGAUCCAUAGGAUUGCACCCACCCAUUGGCAGUGAAGGCGAAACCUGAUAACUGCUCUCCAAAGUACUCAACCAUGUCGUUUCUCUACAAAAACAAAUGUCCGAAUUCAAUUUGAGAUCCAGCAUACUUCGUAUGCAAUUAGAAAUGCAGAAACAAAAAUGUAUAAAAUUUUAUGUAAUUCAAAACCAGGAGACAUUGCUUUGCUUCCAUUGGGCAUUGCGAGACUCACCUCAGGCUCUCCAUGGACAAGGACAUCAAUAUCAAGCUCUUCUUGGAGUUUGACAACCUUGUUGAUUUCCUCCUUGAUGGAAGCAACAUAUUCUUCCUCAGAAAUCCUAAAAAGGACAAAUAGUCACGGCACAGUUAAUACAGUAGUUGCAGUAAUUUCACACAUGGCAUUGAAUGAAGAAACACCUCAGAUUGACUCACUUCUUAGCCUUGUAUUCACGGCGGACUCUCCUAAGUUCAAUGGUUUGUGGGAAGGAUCCAAUUGUGGUGGUUGGGAGGAUUGGAAGAUUGAGCUUCUUCUGUUGAGCAUCUAAUCUAGCACUAACGUUUGUAGCACGUCUGUGGUCUGAUCCCCUCAAAGCAGCAGCCUAAUAGACCAAGAGGAAGGAAUCACUGUUAGCAAAAAAGGAAAUUCUAAGGGACAGCCACAUCAUAAAAAUGGAAAACAAAUCAAUCAUGCCACUUACAGCCUUUUGAACUGCCUCAUUGGUCACUCUCGGGGAGGACUUUCUUGAAGCCUGAGCUGCAGCAUUGGCAGAGAAGAAUCCCUGGAAACAAAUGAUAAGGAGAACCAAAGUUAGUCUCAUUCAUAUCAUUUUAAAAAGAAGAUACAUAUGCAAUUAGUGGGCUGAUUGUGAGAGAAAAAGUCCCCAAAACUUUAAUCAAACACCAAAUGCCCAAGUUGCCAAAUGAUGUUUAAUUCGGAAAAAUAUAUUUAAAAACAUUCAAAUAUAAUUUCCCCUUCUAAAUUUUCAUUUUCAACAACAUAUUUUACAAGCCAAGCUCAACGUCAGGCCAAGAUUUUGUGCUCCUAUAAUUAUAUUUUACCAUAAAACUAGGUCCUUGAAAGGCUAAGAUUUUCUGACUCUUGUGACUAGUCAAAGCCUAAGAUUCUUUCAAUUCAUCCGUAGUAAAAGUAUACCUCAUCCUUUUGGCCAGCCAAAGCCUUGGCCAAUGCAUUGACUUCAACAACUUUCUGGGCAGCAAAUGCCAGCCAUGACUUGAUUUCGUCGUCGAGUUUGUUCUCAUUAACAAGAUCAACAGCAGUGUGAAGAAGUGAGCAGGAGGUGGAGACCACAAGCUUGUCUGCAAAGAAAAGUAAUAAAUUAUACAACAAAUCCCAUAAUAGAAUAAGAAAUAUUUAUCACAAAGAAAAAUGCAAGCAAAGGAUGUAUACCUUUGCCAACAACACCCUCAAGCCCCCGGAGAACACUAAGAGAAGCAGCAAGAUCAUUGGCCCAAAUGUUCCUUCCAUCAACCACUCCAGCAAAGAGGUACUUGCCAGCAGGGAAUCCACUCUUGAUCAAUUCAAGGGUCUUGGUUCCACGAACCAAAUCAAAUCCAUAAGCGGUGACACCCUUCAAAGAAGUGAGGGUCUGGAAUGCCUCAGCUGGAACAUCAGCAAAGUAGGUCUCAACAAGAACAUUCAAGCCAGAC